rnacentral:lncRNA from 1 species
UAAACUAAGACUUUUCUUAAUUCAUAAUUAUCUUAAAUUAACUAAUUAUUAAUCCUAUUUUGUGUGGAGCCAGGGAAUAAUAUUUUACUCAAACAUUAUCCAAACGCCACCAAAUUUUGUGUGGAGCCAGGGAAUAAUAUUCAGAGGCUCUCCAGCAAUUUUGGUGAUUUUUGCACAUAUAAAUAAAUUAUUAAAAUUCAUCAAAGUUUUAUUUUCUAAAUAAAAGAGCCAAUUUUUAUACCCUUGCAAACUACCAGCAAACUGAGCCUAGUAUUUUUCUUGGGUUCUACCUAUUUCAGGGAAUCUAUAUAAAAAUUUUCAUCAUUUUUGGGUCACUACACAAUUUAUUACUCAACUUCAAACAUCAAGCAAAAAUUGCAUAAAAAGAAAAAGAAAAAGAAAACGAAGAAGAUUUUUUUGCGCAGCGGGCGGCCUGGAACUUGGCCCGCAUGCCGGCCCACGCGCGCUCGGCCCGCACACGCGCUGCGCGCGCUGCCCCUCCCC